rnacentral:rRNA from 1 species
AUUGAACGCUGGCGGCAUGCCUUACACAUGCAAGUCGAACGGUAACAGAUCUUCGGAUGCUGACGAGUGGCGAACGGGUGAGUAAUACAUCGGAACGUGCCUAGUAGUGGGGGAUAACUACUCGAAGGAGUGGCUAAUACCGCAUGAGAUCUACGGAUGAAAGCAGGGGAUCGCAAGACCUUGUGCUACUAGAGCUGCUGCGGGCAGAUGAGUUAGUUGGUGGGAUAAAAGCUUACCAAGCCGACGAUCUGUAGCUGGUCUGGGAGGACGAUCAGCCACACUGGGACUGAGACACGGCCCAGACUCCUACGGGAGGCAGCAGUGGGGAAUUUUGGACAAUGGGCGCAAGCCUGAUCCAGCAAUGCCGCGUGCAGGAUGAAGGCCUUCGGGUUGUAAACUGCUUUUGUACGGAACGAAAAGCCCUGGGUUAAUACCCUGGGGUCAUGACGGUACCGUAAGAAUAAGCACCGGCUAACUACGUGCCAGCCGCCGCAGUAA